rnacentral:rRNA from 1 species
GUGAGGAAUAUUGCGCAAUGGAGGCAACUCUGACGCAGCCAUGCCGCGUGCAGGAAGAAGGCGCUACGCGUUGUAAACUGCUUAUAACCGGGAAGAAACCCCAGGACGUGUCCUGGGUUGACGGUACCGGAGGAAUAAGCACCGGCUAACUUCGUGCCAGCAGCCGCGGUAAUACGAAGGGUGCAAGCGUUAUCCGGAUUCAUUGGGUUUAAAGGGUGCGUAGGCGGAGCGUUAAGUCAGUGGUGAAAUCCUGCAGCUUAACUGUAGACUUGCCAUUGAUACUGGCGCUCUUGAGUGCGCUUGAAGUGGGCGGAAUGUGCCGUGUAGCGGUGAAAUGCUUAGAUAUGGCACAGAACACCAAUUGCGAAGGCAGCUCACUAAGGCGAUACUGACGCUGAGGCACGAAAGCGUGGGGAUCGAACAGGAUUAGAUACCCGUGUAGUCC